UAAUUGUUUUCUAGUUAUAGACUGGAUUAUAUUUGCAUCUAAAGGAUAUAAUACAUAAUAAUGUCAUUAGUGUGAAUUGCGAAAAUAAGUGGAUUCAAAUCUUUAAUUGAUAAAAUUCAAUUUAAUAAGCCAAAAUCAUCGUUAUCGGCUAGCAUGUCAUACGAGAUCACAGAAACUAAUCGUGAUGUUGAUGAUGAAGAGAGUACAACCGAGUUUUUUAAGUCGGACGAAAUCUGUACUGCCUGAGAAAGUCUUUAUCACGUUAAUACGCGCAGAAUUAUUGUGUGUUUGUCAUAGUAUUUCUUUUACAAAACAUAGUCUUGUUUUGAAGAUUUUGCAAACAUUGCUACUUCUCAAUGAAUCUUGACCUAUAUCUAUGCCUUACUACGCUCAUUACUUUGUGGACAAAAAAAAAUUAUUAAUUAAGAAAUAUUAUAAAUUAAGAAAUAUUAUUUUUACAUUAUAUUUCACAUUAUUGUGUGCAUGCAGGCAGUUCUAAUUGCCGUACUCGCACACGACUGCAUGUUUUCUGGCAUAUCUGCAGUCUCUUGCUGUGGUUGGAUACGAAAAAUCAAUAAUUUUUUUCUAUGUUUCAACAUGACUGAUCGGGAGACCGAAGUUGUUGCCUAAAUACUCGCAGAUUUCGUCUUGAGACGGUAUCAUGUAAUAGUCAUAAUGAUGCUGGGAAUAAUCAUCCGAAUGACCGAAAGAUCUACGAUCGGAAAAUCGCGAUCUCCGUUCAUGCACACUGGCGAGCUUUUCGGUGAGUGGCAAUAUUGCAUUAAUUAGAACGUGUGCACACAUAUAAAGAAAAAAAAAGAAAUUAUCUAUUUGUACCUUAAAAUUGUUUUCACCUAUUGGACAGAUUCGCGGAGAUUCUUGAAGACAUUUUUUGCAACACUGCUUUUGCUAUACAAAUGCUGUGACAAUGACUGUAACAAUGAGCAUUACUCUACUACAUGCAAGUACAUGUUUGUCAUUGAACUUCAACUUGGUAUUCGCGUAUUUCGUGUUAUUCACAGAUUAUCUUACGUUACUCACACUUAUAUGAUUAAUAGUUAAGAAAUUAAAGAGAGAUUAAAAUAUUGUAUUUUGUCGUUUUCGAGAUCGCGUCUUACAGAUUAACGAAAUUGGAGAAACGCUAAAGUAUAUGAUAUAUAUCUUUGCUCAAAUGUGUGUUACAAACGUUUUGCUUCAGUCUGCAAGGUCUGAAACUGAUCGAUCACAGAGUGCAAUUAUGUGAUAAAAUAUACAAUUCCUCAGGUAUGAAAUACCUGUGGAAUCACGAAAGCUGUUUCUGUUCGUGAUGCGAAGAAGCAUGCAACCCUGUUUUUUGAGCGCCAGCAAGAUUUCUGUUUUCUCUCUGAAGAGCUUCUCCACGGUAAAUGUUAUUUACGAAAUUUAUGUUACAUGUUCCUUUGAAAUCUUUUUUAAAAAUACUGGCACUUAUUUUAAAGAUUAUACAGUCUUCGUAUUUUAUCGUACUUGCAUCCUUCUAAUGAUCAAUAUUAUACUUUGGAUAAUAUCUGUGUGAUAGUAAUGUCUCUGAAAUAAUAAUUAUUAUUGUAGUAGUAAUAUUGUCAGUUUCCUAACUAUAUGUCCAUCUUUCUUUAACAAGAUAUCAUCUUGCUGCAAGUACGUAUUUAUUCAAGAUAAAAUUGUUUUCCAUAUAAAAGUUAUUAAAAAAACAUUGUUUUUUUUAUAUCAAAGAUCACCCAGCACAAUGGCAAUAUUUUAGAGUCAAUAAGAUUCAUAUUGUAUCUACAUUAUUGCUUUGAAAAUUAUGACAUUUGUAUGGAUUGAUUACUACAGUGUUACAAAAAGGAUUUUGUUGAAGAAAUGGAUAAGGAACAGUAAUAUUUAUUUUAAGUGUUGAAAUGUGUUCAUUUUUUGGUUCAAUUUUAAAGGAAAGUUAUUACGCGAGAUAACAGGUUUUUAGUAAUGGACUAGGUUUUAUUUGCAUCUAAUAUAGUACAUAGUAACGUCGUUAGCGCAAGUUGCGAAAACAAGUAAAUUCAAAACUGUUAACUGAUGAAAUUUGAUUUAACGUCAAGCAAAAAUCACGCGUUAUCGAUACUGGCGAGCAUGUCAUCUUGCUCAAAACGGUCAUACUAUACUUGUCAGUGAUUUCUCGAUAUUAUCAUUACAAAAAAAUCAAAAUCGUCAAAGUUAAGCUCGAAUAAAAAGAGAUAAGUCUUAAAUAUCUUAAACAUUUAAUCUGAUAACUUACUCACCUAUAUUAAUAAAAUCUUUUUCGUGUAAGGCGAAAGUUGUAUCGUGAAAAUAUUAUCAACUUUCUCCAAAUAUUUUAUAGCAAUUAAAACGAAUGUCACAUUGCAGCGUCAACGAGUACCAUUCAGUAUAUCGUUUGGAUAUUUCGUAAGAGUUUUGGGAUCGUCAACACUUUCUUCAUAAAUAAAAAAAUGUAACAAGAAGAAAGGCCGAGAGAUAGAUUCGACGAUAUCAUAAAAUCGACGAUAAUCCUGGCUUUUAUUUCGAUGACUCGUAAUGUUGAACUUAAGACCGUAAGUUUUACGAUCUAACGGGGGAUAUGUACGUGGAUAUAUGCGCAUAUGUUGCACGCAAGACGAAAUGUCUAUCGCAUUUUCAUCGCAUAUCGAGCGGUAUCUUUGAAUGUUAGAGAAUAUAUCAUGUAUCUCUUCGAUUUACCGAUCGAAAGGAAAUUUGAUUUUGUUAUUCGAUAUAAUAAAAUAGAUAAAAUUUUUCAAAACCACUGUGCUUUUGAAUGAUAAAGUGCUUUUGCACCAAGCUUCCACCGCUCAAUUGUACGCUGAAGACACGAGGCAAUGAAAAGAGAACCGGCUUUUUUCUUAGCUUCUUUCGAAGAUAAAAAACGGCACCUAUCGUUUUCGAAUCUAACGGCGCCUGUAUAAUGCCCUUGUCACAUGAUCUCUCUUUCGUUCCUCUAUAAUUAUUAUAGUAAUAGUAUUGUCUGUUUCCCGAUUACGUUCGUCUCUUCCUUUAACGCUUAGGCGAUCGUGCGAUCGUGAUAAA
rnacentral:lncRNA from 1 species